CGGGGACUGGCUCAACGGUAGAGCGCUCGAUUCGGGUUCGAGAGACUCCGAGUUCGAUUCUCGGGUCCCCGACCA
rnacentral:tRNA from 1 species